AUGAUCAUCCUCAUCUCCACCACGAACUCCAGCUCCCCCGAUCGCAGCUCCGACGCCAAGCGGCGGCGCAGCGUGUCGCACGUCCGCUCAUCCGACAACCAUGUCGCCGUAGAACACAGUGACUGUGAUCUCCUUCUUGCAGGUCCUGUCGACGCCCUUGUUGUCGACACGCAGCUCGAGGUUGAAGUCGGGGCGGAUCACCGGGCUGCGUGCUGGGUCGAGGCCGUGCACCUCCGUCAGUCUGACGGAAUAAUUGGGAUCAAGGGAUUCCUGAUGAUGAAGGUUCUUGGCCUAGACAUGGAUCCCGAAGCUGCUGGUUUGAAGCACAGAGGCAACCAAUGCCUAUGUGUCAUUCUAAUAAUUGUCGCCUGCCUGACCUUGGUAGCUUUUCCAUCUGUCGCCGUUCGCCAGCUCGUCGUCGAUCCCGACCUGAAUUUCGGGAGCGCAAAGUUCAGCAUGGAGCCCGUGUCCCACGCCGGGAUAUAUCGCAACGACUCCUCGCCGGCUUUCAACGUCACGCUGCACGCCAGGAGCUCCUACAAGCACAGCUUCUGCAGCGACGGCAGAGGCGGCGACGUGCAGGCGGUCUACUCGGGCAUCACCGUCGCCAUGGGCCACCUGCCGCCCUUCUGCGUGGAGCCCAAAGGCUCGAUCGCCAUGACCGCGGCUGCCUCGUCGGGCUGGCUGGCUAUGCCCGCCUCGCUGCAAGAGCGCAUCGAGCAUGACAGGAGGAACGGUGGGGUGGAACUGGAGGUCGAUCUCAGCUUCGCCAACGAUAUCAAGGGCUUACUAUUGGUGCGCUGCCACGCCAAGUUGGAUGCCACGAGUGCAUCACCAUGCAAAUCUUUCGGUCUGGGAUACAUUUGUGAAACAUGA
rnacentral:rRNA from 1 species